GACGAACGCUGGCGGCGUGCUUAACACAUGCAAGUCGAACGGAAAGGCCCUGCGUUUGUGGGGUGCUCGAGUGGCGAACGGGUGAGUAACACGUGAGUAACCUGCCCUUGACUUUGGGAUAACUUCAGGAAACUGGGGCUAAUACCGGAUAGGAGCUCCUGCUGCAUGGUGGGGGUUGGAAAGUUUCGGCGGUUGGGGAUGGACUCGCGGCUUAUCAGCUUGUUGGUGGGGUAGUGGCUUACCAAGGCUUUGACGGGUAGCCGGCCUGAGAGGGUGACCGGCCACAUUGGGACUGAGAUACGGCCCAGACUCCUACGGGAGGCAGCAGUGGGGAAUAUUGCACAAUGGGCGGAAGCCUGAUGCAGCACCGCCGCGUGCGGGAUGACGGCCUUCGGGUUGUAAACCGCUUUCGCCUGUGACGAAGCGUGAGUGACGGUAAUGGGUAAAGAAGCACCGGCUAACUACGUG
rnacentral:rRNA from 1 species